GACGAACGCUGGCGGCGUGCCUAAUACAUGCAAGUCGAGCGCUGAAGGUUGGUACUUGUACCAACUGGGUGAGCAGCGAACGGGUGAGUAACGCGUGGGUAACCUGCCUUUGAGCGGGGGACAACAUCUGGAAACGAAUGCUAAUACCGGAUAAAAACUUUAAACACAAGGUUUAAGAGUGAAAGAUGCAAUUGCAUCACUCAAUGAUGAUCUCGCGGUGUAUUAGCUAGGUGGUGAGGUAAAGGCUCAACAAGGCGAUGAUACAUAGCCGACCUGAGAGGGUGAUCGGCCACAACGGGAAUGAGACACGGCCCCAACCCCCACGGGAGGCAGCAGGAGGGAAUCUUCGGCAAUGGGCGGAAGUCUGACCGAGCAACGGCGCGUGAGUGAAGGAGGUUUUCGGAUCGUAAAACUCUGGUGGUAGAGAAGAAAGUUAGUGGGAGUUGAAAGCGCAUCAAGUGACGGUACCUAACCAGAAAGCGACGGCUAACUACGUG
rnacentral:rRNA from 1 species